UACGUAGGAGGCGAGCGUUGUCCGGAUUUACUGGGCGUAAAGCGCGCGCAGGCGGCACCUCAAGUAAGGUGUGAAAUCUCCCGGCUCAACUGGGAGGGUGCGCCGAAUACUGAAUGACUUGGAGUGCGGGAGAGGAAAGUGGAAUUCCUGGUGUAGCGGUGAAAUGCGUAGAUAUCGAGGAGGAACACCGGUGGUGUAGACGGCUUUCUGGACCGUA
rnacentral:rRNA from 1 species